GGCAGCGAUGUCGUCGGGUAUGUGUGAUUUUGGUGAAGAUUGUGAAGAAACGGCGAUAUAUUAUUUGAACGGCUGUGUUCAACAAACCUUUCACCACCUCAGAUAUUUGGACUCUUAACUCUAAGGGUAUAGAUCUGCCCGAAAGUUAUCUAAUUCUAUCCAGAGUGGGUAUCGAUGUAAUCACAUUAGCACAGCUAAACAAGAAAAUUUGCCAAAGAUUCAGAUGCGCGCUUGGUCUGUACUGGAAACGGAGCAAGAGAUCUUGUGUACAUCCCUUUCAUGGUUUAUCUAAAACGAAACCAGACUGAGGCAUCACACCAGUUUUAAGCUGGGAACUUUGGUUGCGCAACGUCUACAGCUACACGUAUCAGUACCAAUAGAUGAAGACAGAGUUGAGCAGCAGACCUAUUCAACCAGUGCCUCAAUACCUCCACUUAAUCUUAGAGAUUGCACUGAAGUCAAUGAUGCUAACAACAAUGCUAAUCCUGCUGAAGAAACUUCAGGCAGCCGAACAGUUUGACAGUGUCCAAGCAAUAGCCAAUGAACUUACAGAAUAAAUGGCUGUGACUGAAACUCAUUAAGUUCAAUAUCUUUGUACCGUAGUUUUACAUGUACUUAUAUUGUUUAGAUAAAUAAUACCUUUACUCAGAUGUGUAUCCCUCAUAUAAUUACAUUUAAUUCAUUGACAUUUAUUAAAGUGGGAAUUGAUCAACUUCGAGGGUUUCAACAAAUUAUAUCAUUUUGUUGAGAUGUUAUUUCAUUGAUAUACUGUAGUGUAUUUUUCAAUAGAACAUGAUAGAAUGAAAGUACACCUUUUCGGAAUUUUUUUUUAUUUGUUUUCAAACAUGAUACAUGUACUGGGGUAAAAUAAUUUUUCAGAAUGUUAUUGUAGAAUUUUGAAUGUUUUUUUUUCUUUUUCUAUAAACCUUCCAGUACAAUUUUAUAGAUUUGCAGUUAUAUUACAUAUAAUAUUACCUGUACUUGAAUUUAUUGCAUUGUGGUUAAGUAAAUCCAUUCACAUUCAAAUCAUGUUGUCUUAGAGGACAGAGACAAUACAAGUAGUUUUAUGGUAUGAAAAUUGCAACAAUUCUUGUUUUAAUUUUUUAGCAAUUGUGGCCUUAUGCUUCAAAGGAUUAUUAGAAGUUUAAAAUUAUUAAAUGUGGUCUUAUAAGUACAUUUCAACCCGAUGUCUUCCAAAGUUCCAAACAUACAUAUCUGUGGAGCUCAUUUCUUUAUCAAUCAUCAUACUCUCCUUCAACUAUAUUUACUGAAGAUAUUUGAUAUUCAAAGUAUAUAUUUAAAUACAGAUGUUUACAUUAUAUUGUAAUGGAAUACUUUAUAUGCACCUGGAUCCAUAGAUAAGGGUCAUACCAGUAUAUUUUUUGUCCUUUUUGUCUGUUUUUCUGUUUGUCUGAUUAUCUGUUUUUUCUGUUGUCAACUUUAACCUUUGCCAUAACUUUUGACCUUGUAACCUUGACUUUGACCUAAACAUUAAAAAUAACUUUUCAGAUAUUAUUUGCCAAAGGGCGUAUAGUGUUUCACAAACACAUCUUAUUUUUAUUGAAUCAUCUUUAAAAAUAUUAAUGAAGUUAACUCCCUCCAAACCCUUUGAGGUUUGAAAAUAAUUGUAAGAAUGGUAUACAUGUAUUAGUGUAAUCUUUUCAGAUUGUUGUAAAUGAGGCAAAAUUAAUAUUUAUUGUACUAGGUGUAGAUUAUUACCGGGUAUGUUCAUUUUACAAAAUAUGUAAUAAAUAUUUAGAUUUGAAACAUUAAAGAACUAGGUCUAAUAUGGGCCGAAAUUGGCCUUGUUGAUUUAAAAAUUGGUAAUAGUUUGUUUUUAUCAUAACUUUGUUAUAUUUAAUAAUCCGAAAAAUU